UAGCCGUAAACGAUACUCGCUAGGUGUCGGCCACGGUGCGACCGUUGUCGGUGCCGUAGGGAAGCCGUGAAGCGAGCCACCUGGGAAGUACGGCCGCAAGGCUGAAACUUAAAGGAAUUGGGCGGGGGAGCACAACAACGGGUGGAGCUUGCGGUUUAAUUGGAUUCAACGCCGGAAAUCUUACCGGGACCGACAGCAACAUGAAGGCCAAGCUGAAGACUUUGCCGGAUUAGCUGAGAGGAGGUGCAUGGCGUCAGUGACU
rnacentral:rRNA from 1 species